rnacentral:rRNA from 1 species
UACGUAGGGGCCUAGCGUUGUCCGGAUUUAUUGGGCGUAAAGAGCUCGUAGGCGGUUCGGUAAGUCAGGUGUGAAAUCUCCACGCUCAACGUGGAGGAGCCACCUGAUACUGCCGUGACUUGAGUCCGGUAGGGGAGUGUGGAAUUCCCGGUGUAGCGGUGAAAUGCGCAGAUAUCGGGAGGAACACCGGUGGCGAAGGCGGCAUCCUGGACCAAUAUUGACGCUGAGGAGCGAAAGCCAGGGGAGCAAACGGG